CCUACGGGUGGCUGCAGUGAGGAAUAUUGGUCAAUGGGCGUAAGCCUGAACCAGCCAAGUCGCGUGAGGGAUGACUGCUCUAUGGAUCGUAAACCUCUUUUAUAAGGGAAUAAAGUGCUCGACGUGUCCCGUUUUGUAUGUACCUUAUGAAUAAGGAUCGGCUAACUCCGUGCCAGCAGCCGCGGUAAUACGGAGGAUCCGAGCGUUAUCCGGAUUUAUUGGGUUUAAAGGGUGCGUAGGUGGAGUGUUAAGUCAGUGGUGAAAGUCUGUGGCUCAACCGUAGAAUUGCAGUUGAAACUGGCAGUCUUGAGUAUAUUAGAGGUGGGCGGAAUGCGUGGUGUAGCGGUGAAAUGCUUAGAUAUCACGAAGAACUCCGAUUGCGAAGGCAGUUCACUAGGCUAUGACUGACGCUGAGGCACGAAAGUGUGGGGAUCAAACAGGAUUAGAUACCCGAGUAGUC
rnacentral:rRNA from 1 species